rnacentral:rRNA from 1 species
GAUGAACGCUGGCGGCGUGCCUAAUACAUGCAAGUCGAGCGAACAGACGAGGAGCUUGCUCCUCUGACGUUAGCGGCGGACGGGUGAGUAACACGUGGAUAACCUACCUAUAAGACUGGGAUAACUUCGGGAAACCGGAGCUAAUACCGGAUAAUAUAUUGAACCGCAUGGUUCAAUAGUGAAAGACGGUUUUGCUGUCACUUAUAGAUGGAUCCGCGCCGCAUUAGCUAGUUGGUAAGGUAACGGCUUACCAAGGCAACGAUGCGUAGCCGACCUGGGAGGGUGAUCGGCCACACUGGAACUGAGACACGGUCCAGACUCCUACGGGAGGCAGCAGUAGGGAAUCUUCCGCAAUGGGCGAAAGCCUGACGGAGCAACGCCGCGUGAGUGAUGAAGGUCUUCGGAUCGUAAAACUCUGUUAUUAGGGAAGAACAAAUGUGUAAGUAACUAUGCACGUCUUGACGGUACCUAAUCAGAAAGCCACGGCUAACUACGUGC